GACGACCACAGCGAGGGGGCACCACCUGAUCCCAUGCCGAACUCAGCAGUGAAACCCUUCAGCGCCGAUGGUAGUGCGGCCUCUGGCCGUGCGAGAGUAGGUCAUCGUC
rnacentral:rRNA from 1 species